rnacentral:RNase_P_RNA from 1 species
AGUUGGCUUGGCAAUUGCGUACUUCCGGAAUGAACGAAUACGUCAGGAAGGCUGUAUGAGGAAAGUCCGAGCAGCGCAGAGCAGGAUGACGGCUAACGGCCGCCGAGGGUGACCUUAGGGAAAGUGCAACAGAAAUAUACCGCCUCAUAUUGGUUGAAGGUCUCCGUCAUCGUCAACCAGAGGUAAGGGUGGAAAGGCGAGGUAAGAGCUCACCGAGGAAGUGGAGACAUUUCCUGCCAUGUAAACCCCAUCCGCUGCAACAUCGACUAAAGGGUUGUUUGCUCGACACAUAACUUUGAAAGAUGGCUGGAGCGCAGGAGCAAUUCUGCGUCGAGAUAGAUAAUUGCCCACGACAGAACUCGGCUUACUGCCA